rnacentral:lncRNA from 1 species
CUACAACAACAACAAACCCAGUGUAUUCCCACCUAGUGGGGUCUGGGGGGGUAAGAUGUACGCAGUCCAUACCUCUACCUCUGAUGAAGUAGAAAGGCUGUUUCCGAUAGACCCCCGGCUCAAGACACGAGAUACCACACAAACACAUAGUAAAGCACAGAAGCAGAUUACAUAUCAUAAAUACGGCACCCAUAAGUAAUAUAAAACAGAGAAAGCAAAGGAAAGCACACAGAUUCGUAAUAAAACAUGGAACACGGAAGACGGAAUCAUAACAGGAAUAAAACCCCCUCCAAGUAAUUUCCUACACUAGCGACCCAAACUGGCCCUAAUCCUCUGCCGAAAUUCGCGCCCUCCAGACCUUCCUAUCUAGGGUCAUGUCCUCGGUGAGCUGUAACUAUUCUAUGUCCCACCUAAUUACCUCAGCCCUGUACUUCUUCGGCCUACCCCUACCCCGCCUAAAACCAUCCAACGCUAGCCUCUCGCACCUACGGACCGGGGCAUCCAUGCCCCUCCUCUUCACGUGUCCGAACCAUCUCAAUCGUGCUUCCCGCAUCUUACACUCCACUGAAGUCACACCAACCUUCUCCCGGAUAGUCUCAUUCCGAACUCUAUCCCCUCGAGUCAGUCCACACAUCC